AAAAAGGCAAACCUUAAGUUUCCGUGUUCAAUUUUGACUGUUCGUCUUAUAUGAAAUUUUUUUAUAAUUCGUAUUUUUAUUGUUGUUAGAAGAUAAAACAUGAUUAAUAUUUUAUGCGUGACUUAUCUUUUUAAUUUUUUUUAUAAUUUUUUUAAAUAAGACGGACGGUCAAACGUUGAGCAUAGAAAACAUGGUU
rnacentral:pre_miRNA from 1 species